rnacentral:pre_miRNA from 11 species
CCCAAGAAUUUGGGUGGUCACAAAUCCUGGACGAGUCCCCAACUGAAAGACGCCCAGAGUGGGGAGACCCUGACUCAAGUCUAGGGAUAAGCUGACGUCCCAAUAAUUCAAGAGAGACC